rnacentral:rRNA from 1 species
UAGGGAAUCUUCGGCAAUGGACGAAAGUCUGACCGAGCAACGCCGCGUGAGUGAAGAAGGUUUUCGGAUCGUAAAACUCUGUUGUUAGAGAAGAACAAGGACGUUAGUAACUGAACGUCCCCUGACGGUAUCUAACCAGAAAGCCACGGCUAACUACGUGCCAGCAGCCGCGGUAAUACGUAGGUGGCAAGCGUUGUCCGGAUUUAUUGGGCGUAAAGCGAGCGCAGGCGGUUUCUUAAGUCUGAUGUGAAAGCCCCCGGCUCAACCGGGGAGGGUCAUUGGAAACUGGGAGACUUGGGUGCAGGAGAGGAGAGUGGAAUUCCAUGUGUAGCGGUGAAAUGCGUAGAUAUAUGGAGGAACACCAGUGGCGAAGGCGGCUCUCUGGUCUGUAACUGACGCUGAGGCUCGAAAGCGUGGGGAGCAAACAGG